rnacentral:rRNA from 1 species
GAUGAACGCUGGCGGCGUGCUUAACACAUGCAAGUCGAACGGUGAACACGGAGCUUGCUCUGUGGGAUCAGUGGCGAACGGGUGAGUAACACGUGAGCAACCUGCCCCUGACUCUGGGAUAGGCGCUGGAAACGGCGUCUAAUACUGGAUAUGUGACGUGACCGCAUGGUCUGCGUUUGGAAAGAUUUUUCGGUUGGGGAUGGGCUCGCGGCCUAUCAGCUUGUUGGUGAGGUAAUGGCUCACCAAGGCGUCGACGGGUAGCCGGCCUGAGAGGGUGACCGGCCACACUGGGACUGAGACACGGCCCAGACUCCUACGGGAGGCAGCAGUGGGGAAUAUUGCACAAUGGGCGCAAGCCUGAUGCAGCAACGCCGCGUGAGGGAUGACGGCCUUCGGGUUGUAAACCUCUUUUAGCAGGGAAGAAGCGAAAGUGACGGUACCUGCAGAAAAAGCGCCGGCUAACUACGUG